rnacentral:rRNA from 1 species
CAUACCNACUANCUCCUCCUAACAUCCUUACCCCCAAAUCCUUCCUCACUCAUCACAUCGCUCUAUCACCUUUCCCCCAUUGUCCAUAUUCCCCACUGCUGCCUCCCNU